UACGUAGGGGGCAAGCGUUGUCCGGAAUCAUUGGGCGUAAAGCGCGUGUAGGCGGCUUGGUAAGUCCGCUCUGAAAGCCCGGGGCUCAACCCCGGGAGGCGGGUGGAUACUGUCAAGCUCGAGUCCGGAAGAGGCGAGUGGAAUUCCUGGUGUAGCGGUGAAAUGCGCAGAUAUCAGGAGGAACACCAAUGGCGAAGGCAGCCCCCUGGGCUAACACUGACGCUCAGGCACGAAAGCGUGGGGAGCAAACAGG
rnacentral:rRNA from 1 species